GGGGGUGAAUUGGCUUCGACGCGAGUCAAGACACUUUUAGGAGCAUAUAGAGGGCGCUUGAGGACCUCUUAAAAAACGAGCUAUUUUUUAAACGGCGACAAUCAUGUUGCUCUUGCCGCUUAAUUAAAGUGGCAACACGGAACCUCUUGUGGUGGCGAAAGAGGGGAAGUGUCGGUUUCAGUCACCUCGGUUUUUCAUUUUUUCUGUAGAUGAAAAACUUAAAUUUUUACAGAAAAAAUCAAAGAAAGUUUGUUCUUGGAAUUUCUUUGAUUACUAAACAAGAACUAAAUAUGUAGAGCCUAAAAGAAGAAGUCUUGCGGACACGGGUUCAAUUCCCGUCACCUCCACCA
rnacentral:tmRNA from 1 species